UUUUUUUUUAAUUUUUCUUUCUCCUAUUAAUGUCCUAAUGUACCGCUAGAUCUAGGUGCUUUGCAGACUGACAUGGGUCUGGCGUGUCUCUCCUUCUUCCACUCUCAUCAUCUACCUCAGGCACUGAAGAGAUGCUUGUGAGCUCAAAUGCAUCCAACAAAUGAAGGGCCUUGGGAAACGGAGGAUGGAAACCCCUUUUCUAAAGCCAUAAUUCCGCCAUGUUUGAUGGUUGUAAUAAUUAAACUUAAGAGCAGCAGAGGUGGAAGAAAGAGAGCUGGGCUCAAGUCCCAGCUGUGCCAUUAACCAGGGAUCUAGCCAGAGACAUCAUUCAUGCCCAGGCCUGCUUUGGCUCACUGGUCAAGCGGGGGUACAAACCCUGACUGCUUAGGGCUCUUAGGGGAUUUAUGGUAACCAGGUAAAUGAAAGUCACGUGCCGUGCAAAGAGCUGGGCAAACACUAGCUCUUCUCCUUAUUAAUAACUCUGUGGAAUAGCUAUUAUUAUCACCAUAAAAUGAGGGAUGUUAUUUUCAUUUUUUUUUUUAAAUAAAAGAGGGGAGUUCCCCUAGUGGCACAGCAGAAACAAAUCUGACUAGUACCCAUGAGGAUGCAGGGUUCGAUCCCUGGCUCUGCUCUGUAGGUUAGAUCUGGCAUUGCCGUGAGCUGUGGUGUAGGUCACAGACGCAGCUUGGAUCCCACAUUGCUGGCCUGUGGUGUAGGCCGGCAGCUAUAGCUCCGAUUCGACCCCUAGCCUGGGAACUUCCAUAUGCCAUGGGUGUGGCCUUAAAAAAAAAAAAAAAAAAAAAGAGGUUAGUGACACAGCACCCCAAGUCACACUCUGCGAGUAGGUGGCAAAGCCGAGAGUCAAACUCAGAACCCAGUUCUGAGUCCACCCUCAGCAGCAGAACAUUGUAAUGUGCUAACAGAAAGUGUGCUGAGAGCACACUUUCUCCUUUCCUUAUGGGAAGAUUCUGUUACUUCUCAUCCGCUGUGUGCAAGCUAAAUGCUGAGCAUAUUAGAACUCUGUGUAACACAGGGGAAAAAAAGUCUAUGAACGAGGGUCUAAGAGGACACACAAUUUUUUAAAUUAGUUUUCUACUCACAGGGUUUUUUUGUUUUGUUUUGUUUUGUUUUAUUUUAUCUACUUCUCAAUUUCCACAUAGCCAUUCCAGAAAUAUGCAUGCUAUAACUGUGAUAAUAAUAACCAUAGUUAUUAUUUUUAUUAUUUUAAAAUAGCUAUCAUUUAUUGAACAGUUACUUUCUCCCAGGUAUUAGGAACAGUAGACCUCAGGGCAACAGAGGAAAAAGUUAUGGUUUAGCUGAGUUUUUGGAAGGCAGAGACUACAUUGUAGACUGUCAGGUAAUGACUCCCCGCCCCCAAUAUGUCAGGAAGUACAUUAAACAAAGAGCAAUACCUCUAGAAAAAUAAAGGCCUGGCUGUGUCCUCCAUAUCUAUACUUAUGAAGUACACAGGAUAGAUCACUGAAGACAGGGCUAGGGUCAAGGGUCAAAGUUUAUAAGCAACAACUCUCUCAUCUAAAAGAAAAGGAGGUGUUCCCAUCGUGGCUCAGCAGUUAACGAACCUGGCUGGUAUCCAUGCGGACGAAGGUUUGAUCCCUGGCCUCGCUCAGUGGGUCAAAGAACCAGUGUUGCUGUGGCUGGGGUGUAGGCCAAUGGCUACAGCUCCAAUUCGACCCCUAGCCUGGGAACUUCCAUAUGCCACGGGAGUGGCCCUAAAAAGACCAAAUAAAUAAGUAAAAGAAAAUUUUUAAAAAUAAAGAAAAUGAGAGAGAAGGUGGGUUUGGAGGAUUUAAAAUACAGAGCUCCUUGGAGUUCCCAUCAUGGCGCAGGGGAAAUGAAUCUGACUAGGAACCAUGAGAUCACAGGUUCAAUCCCUGGCCUUGUUCAGUGGGUAAAGGAUCUGGCGUUGCCGUGAGCUAUGGUGUAGGUCGCAGAUGCAGCUCAGUUCCUGCGUGGCUGUGGCUGCGGCUGUAGCCAGCAGUUGUAGCUACGAUUUGACCCCUAGCCUGAGAACCUCCAUAUGCCUCAGGUGCAGCUCUAAAAAGCAAAAAAUAAAAAUAAAUACAGAGCUCCUUGCUUUCAGUUUAGUGGCUGACAUACCUAAGG
rnacentral:lncRNA from 1 species